GGGCUGUUCACACCAAACGUGUUUUUGUGCAUGUCAGCACUGUGUUCGAAUUGUUUUCUGACAUAAUUACGUGCUAGACGGGCAUCUUUGACUGCUGGCACAUCUUGCUGUUUCAUUCAAGUCUCGCGCAGGACUGACAGAAGCUCAGGUGUCAAAGAGGACUUCAUGUGACUGUUGCACCGUUAUACAUGAUUCUAGGUUGUAAAGUUUCAGUCCAAAUACAGUUUCAGCAUGUGAUAAAUGCAGAUGAAAGGAAGUCAUACACAUCUGAGAUGGCAUGAGGUUUGAACAUCCUUUCCUACUGUGGGCCUCAGAGCACAGUAGUACACAGCAGAGUCAGACACACGCAGAUCCUGGAUUGUCAGUGGAACUGAUUUUGAUGAUUUUAUCAGUUCAGAGUGAAAUCGUUCCUGGAACUCAGUGCCAUUAUCCCCAUUUCCAAUUGUGUCUCUUCUCAAGAUGUAUUUAGGAAAGUCAUUUGCUCUCUGGAUGUACCAGAAGAGGUAUGUUUCUGUUAAAGUUGUUUCAUAUAUACACUUUAAUGUUACUGAUUCUCCUUUUAGUUUAGUCACAUGUUUGUCUGGCUGAUCCACUCUGUCCUCAGAUCUGGACUCUGUAAAUAUUUAAGAAAAUAACAUGAAGAUGAUAUAAUUUUUUUUAAAUGAACUACAUGACACCACAAACUAUACAAUGGAUAUUAAGAUAUAGUAUAUUAUGUAAAUAUUAAAAAAGAAAUAGGAUAAAUGCAUACCAAGAAUAAAUAGUGCAAAAAGAAAUAUAUUCUUCAACAAGCUCAUGAUCUGUUUUACAGUUAACAGACUCUGAAAUCUGGUUUAACCAUUCAAUACAAGAGUUCUGCUUUUACAACAAGAGGAGGGGCUUGUGGAAACCUGAAACAGUGUAAUACUGAGGGGUAUACAGUAUAUUGCCCUCUUUUGGUAUUCCUGGAAGUGUUACAUAACAAUAAUAUAAUAACAUAAUAAUAAUGUCACAUCAUU